rnacentral:lncRNA from 1 species
CUUCUGAGCCUGCCCAGCUACCUGGAAAAAAGUGAUGCGAAUUGCCAAACUAAAGACUUACAUGUGACCCAACCAGCCAAAAGAAUGCACAGUAGCAUUAUGUAACCAUAGAGAACACUCACAGUGCUCCUGUAAACUGAGAAAACUGCUUGAAGAGACAGUAUCUACCUCACAAGUAAACCAGCAGGGGUUUUACAAAUUAAAAAGCUAGUAACUACAGUGGAAAAAGCAGAUAAAGCUACCAGGGGAAAAAGAGGAAAGAUGACAGGAAAAAGAGGUGGAGAAAGGAUGAAAAGUACAUUUUAUAAGUAGAUAUAGAAGAUUAAAGAAAAACUGAAGAAUUGAUAAGAACAGUCAUGAUGAAAAGCACUGGGCAUCCACACAGUUUUUUAACCAGAUGUUCUGGAACCACAACACUGUUCCAG